UGAGGAAUUUUCGUCAAUGGGGGAAACCCUGAACGAGCAACGCCGCGUGGAGGACGAAGACCUUCGGGUUGUAAACUCUUGUCGGACGGGACGAAAGCUACCGAGGCUAAUACCCUUGAUAGUUGACGGUACCGUACGAGGAAGCCCCGGCUAACUUCGUGCCAGCAGCCGCGGUAAUACGAGGGGGGCAAGCGUUGUUCGGAAUUACUGGGCGUAAAGGGCGCGUAGGCGGUCUGACAAGUCUUCCGUGAAAGCCCACGGCUCAACCGUGGAACUGCGGGGGAAACUGCCAGACUUGAGUCCGGGAGGGGAGAGUGGAAUUCCCAGUGUAGCGGUGAAAUGCGCAGAUAUUGGGAGGAACACCGGAGGCGAAGGCGUCUCUCUGGACCGGUACUGACGCUGAGGCGCGAAAGCCAGGGGAGCGAACGGGAUUAGAUACCCGCGUAGUCCA
rnacentral:rRNA from 1 species